CUCGGGUUGUGUGGCUGUGUCUCAGGAAUGCUUUCCUCUCCCUGCCUUCUUGGAAGCUCUUCAAGUCCCGAUGGUUCUCAGCCCUGUUCUUCCUCAUGGCUCCCCAGUGUUCUGGGGAGACAGGUGCUGAGCAGGACAGAGGGGUGGCCCUGGGUGCUGGGGAAGGAUGGGCAGACGAGGAGCCAGGCGUACCUCUCGCUCCAGGGCUGGGCUCUGCUGCCCAGACAGGGAGCCUGCCUCUGACAGACAUUCCCUUCCAGACCCGGAGGCUGCUUUGCGAGAACCAAAGUGAGGACACGGGCCUGGGGGAUGCUCUUAGAGACUUGACACCUGGUGGGAAGUGGAGAUUUGGCAGCUGACUGGACGCGCUAAAGAGCAGCCCAGGUGGCAGCUGAUGCCCCUCCUGCCCUGUACCCCAUCCUCUCCCGAACUGCUCCUCCAGGGCCGAGGAAGAAGGCACCCACCCUGCUAAUCUGCGCUGCGGUUUGCUCUUUGUUAUGUAGUAUCUCAGUGGCAGGACCCACUCGGGAGAGCUGGGGCGAGGCUGGCUGAGGUCCUCGAGGAGCUUGGACUCAGGCGCCUGCCUGGCAGUGGAAGGAUGCUUCCUGACCUCUCAGACCUCUGGGCGCACUUAGAAAGCACUUCACGCCUUCUGUCGGCACACGGCUGCCCAGGGGAACCUCAGGGACAGGGGGCAGAGAUCGUGGCCUGCGAGAUGACGGGUACCCUGAUGCACUCACGACAGUGUCUCAAAGAUGCCACGCCGCUGGCUGCUCCCAAGAACGAAGCCACCCUCCCAGAGAGGUGGCAGGAAGCCGGGCUGGAGGAGGCUCGACUUUUUAGCCGGAGGAUGCACUGCCUUCUCAGGUGUCCUGGGAACUGCUGAAGGACCAUGAUGGGGAGCAAGCUGGUCCACAGAACAGAGCAGAGCAGCUGGAACCCAAGAAGCGCCCGGAGCCAGAUGCAAAGUCUGCAGAACUUCAGAUUGGAGCGCCCUGAGCCGCGGUUCCUGAUUGGACGGUCUUUGCUUUGCCAUCACCCUAUUGGCUCACAGUUCUAGAUGAUUUUGAAUGGUUGGCUGGUCUUUUUUUUUUUUUUUUCGUCUGUCUUUCAUUCUUUUUUCUUGGCCUUGGGGAUUGUGUAAGAAAAGAAUUGCUUUGGAAAAUAUAAUUCUGUGGCUGAAAUUAACCUUGUUUAUGAACCAAUAUUGUCCCUAGGGGUUUCUGAAUUGUCAUCUGGGUUACCUAGUAAAUGGGUCUGCAUGGUUGAUGUGUGUAUUCCUGAUCUUUAGAUUAAAAAUGUAUUUUCUCUCUUACUCGUUUUCACAUCUGGAUCCAGGUAUUGGGCCGAGUCCCACUUGCCUCUGUACUGAAGCGAUCUCACUGCGGCAUCGCUUGGAGUUGAAAUAUAAUCAAACAUAUUGUACCUGAGGCUCUUGCAUUCUCUUUGGGGUUUAUGCUACCUCACAAAGAAAUACAAACCUUGUAGGUGGAAAUGUAAUUCCUGUUUGAUCCUGCAGCUAGAAUGGUGGAGAAAGUAUAAAUAUCGAAAAGCGGCUUCAAAUACAUCAGAUGUCAACUAACCAAGAGUAAGUGGCUGAUUCUCUAAGGCAGAGCAGGGACUGGAGACCACUCCCCACACCCUGCCGUUGACCCUGCUCCAUCUGGAGGAAUCGGAGAAGGAGGCCCGCUUCUGUGUUUGCGUUUGCGGGGACUGUGGUGUUUCUGACUCGUGCUCUGUAACUGUGCCCACCUCGCAAUAAAACACCUUCGUUGACUCA
rnacentral:lncRNA from 1 species